rnacentral:rRNA from 1 species
AUUGAACGCUGGCGGCAGGCCUAACACAUGCAAGUCGAGCGGAUGAAGGGAGCUUGCUCCUGGAUUCCGCGGCGGACGGGUGAGUAAUGCCUAGGAAUCUGCCUGGUAGUGGGGGAUAACGUCCGGAAACGGGCGCUAAUACCGCAUACGACCUGAGGGUGAAAGUGGGGGAUGUUCGGACCUCACGCUAUCAGAUGAGCCUAGGUCGGAUUAGAUAGUUGGUGGGGUAAAGGCCUACCAAGGCGACGAUCCGUAACUGGUCUGAGAGGCUGAUCAGUCACACUGGAACUGAGACACGGUCCAGACUCCUGCGAGAGGCAGCAGUGGGGAAUAGUGGACAAUGGUCGAAAGCCUGAUCCAGCCGUGCCGAGUGUGAGACGAAAGUCUUCGGAUUGUAAAGCACUUUAAGUUGGUAGGAAGGGCAGUAAGUUAAUACCUUGCUGUUUUGACGUUACCAACAGAAUAAGCACCGGCUAACUUCGUG